AUCUGUUUGGAGUAGUGGUUAGGGUGCUCGGCUGUGGAUCCGGAAGGCGCUUGUUCGAUUCACCCCACCAGAUG